AGCUAGCUGACGAGUCCCAAAUAGGACGAAGUGCGUGUUGUCCUGGAU
rfam:Trichobilharzia regenti genome assembly, scaffold: TRE_scaffold0052213